GCAGCCCCCACACAUGUCUCCAAUUAGUCACUUAGUCACUGUCGCCAAUUAGAGGUUCAUCUGGGCCCCUGGUUCUCCAGUGUUUGGUCUUAAUUAUACCUCUACACUCCUAAAAAUUACUGAGCUUUUUGGUUAUGUGGAUUAUAUCUAUCAAUAUUUAUCAUAUUAGACAUUAAAGCUAAGGAAAACAGUAAAACACAAGAAUACAGAAGCACACAUCCCACUGGUGAUGCUUUCCCCACAUAGCAGGAGCUUCUGGAUAACUCCCCAGAGAGUGAGAGUCUUAAAGGACACACAUAUAGAGAAAGGAAAGGAUGCUGACCCUCUCAUGAGGGGAUGGGAUCAGGAAUGAUGCUCUGUUCAUGGCUCAAAAAUAACUAUGAAGAGCUAAAGACUCACAGAAUCAGCACCAAGCUAGCUGGGUAAAGAAGCUCUCUGACAUCCACAGAGCACAGAAGUUUGUCUGUUUAU